rnacentral:rRNA from 1 species
AUACGGAGGGUGCAAGCGUUGUUCGGAAUUACUGGGCGUAAAGCCCGCGUAGGCGGUCUGUUAUGUCAGAUGUGAAAGUCCUCGGUUCAACCGGGGAAGUGCAUUUGAAACUGGCAGACUUGAGUACUGGAGGGGGUGGUGGAAUUCCCGGUGUAGAGGUGAAAUUCGUAGAUAUCGGGAGGAAUACCGGUGGCGAAGGCGACCACCUGGCCAGAUACUGACGCUGAGGUGCGAAAGCGUGGGGAGCAAACAGGAUUAGAAACCCUAGUAGUCC